CGGGUGAGUAACACGUGAGUGACCUGCCUUUUAGACUGGAACAACUUACCGAAAGGUGAGCUAAUGCCGGAUGAGUUAUAUAAGUGCAUGUUUAUAUAGGAAAAGUUGGGGAGACCUGACGCUGAAAGAUGGACUCGCGUCCCAUUAGCUAGUUGGUAGGGUAAUGGCCUACCAAGGCGACGAUGGGUAGCCGGCCUGAGGAGGGUGGCCGGCCACACUGGGACUGAGACACGGCCCAGACUCCUACGGGAGGCAGCAG
rnacentral:rRNA from 1 species